rnacentral:tRNA from 1 species
GUUGGAGUGGCAGAGCCCGGUGAAUGCAGAGGUCCUAAGAUCCUCCCACGGAGGUUCAAGUCCUUCCCCCAACU